rnacentral:rRNA from 1 species
GACGAACGCUGGCGGCGUGCUUAACACAUGCAAGUCGAACGGAAAGGCCCUGCUUUUGUGGGGUGCUCGAGUGGCGAACGGGUGUGUAACACGUGAGUAACCUGCCCUUGACUUUGGGAUAACUUCAGGAAACUGGGGCUAAUACCGGAUAGGAGCUCCUGCUGCAUGGUGGGGGAUGGAAAGUUUCGGCGGUUGGGGAUGGACUCGCGGCUUAUCAGCUUGUUGGUGGGGUAGUGGCUUACCAAGGCUUUGACGGGUAGCCGGCCUGCGAGGGUGACCGGCCACAUUGGAACUGAGAUACGGCCCAGACUCCUACGGGAGGCAGCAGUGGGGAAUAUUGCACAAUGGGCGGAAGCCUGAUGCAGCAACGCCGCGUGCGGGAUGACGGCCUUCGGGUUGUAAACCGCUUUCGCCUGUGACGAAGCGUGGGUGACGGUAAUGGGUAAAGAAGCACCGGCUAACUACGUG